CUCUCCCUCCCUCUUUCAGUUAGUUCACUUCCCGCCCUUCUUUACCUUUCGCAUGCAAAACGUUCGCCAGUACUUUACAAGCCUAACUCGCUCUCACUAACCUUCCCCUUCCCCUGCAAUGUCUUCGCUUCCCCUCCUGGGCCCGUAUUCGCAAACAUUUCAGAGCCCACUCACCCACAUUUGAUAAGGCUUUCAUUGAGGCUGUGUUAGUACUUCCAUUGGUAGAUUUAUGAGUCUAGUGAUCGUUUGACAAGGCUUCUGCACCGUGAAUGUAAAAAAGCACUCAUGAGAACACGGCUAAUCUCCUUUGUGGUCUUGGGAAAUGGUUGUGAGAGCUGAAUGCGUCUGAAAAUACAAGCCUUAGACCCAUAGCCACUAUCCAGUCCCCUUCCUCCCUCGCCCUGCUGGCCUCCCCUCUCACGCUCCCGUUUUCUCUCCCCUACAGCCGUGUUGACGCUGACGAGAGGGGAAGGGCUCAUACCCCCGCCUCCCCUCAUCACGGACCAGCCUUACUUUGACUCCUCCAUGCUGGUGAAUCAGACGGCACACGUGGGGAGGCAGGCUGAGCUCCACUGCCGCGUCCACUCCAUCGGGAACAGAACGGUGUCAUGGAUCCGAGGGCGGGACUUGAGAAUCCUUACAGUGGGACGCUACACCUACACGACGGACCUUCGCUACGAGGCGCUGCACCAGAACGGAACCAACCAGUGGACUCUGAGGAUCCGGUCAGUCCAGCCGCGAGACCAUGGGACCUACGAGUGUCAAGUUAGCACCAAGCCCGUCAAGACCUUCACUACCUACCUGAGGGUGCUCGAGCCUCGCGGGAAGAUCCUUGGCGCGCCGGACCUGUACGUGCAGAAGGGCAGCAUGAUCAACCUGACGUGCGUGCUUCAGGACCUGCCCGAGCCGCCCCUCUACGUGCGAUGGUACCACAGCAACAAACUCUUCAGCAACAGGAACAUCAGCUACAGCAGCAGUCGCGGGGGCGUGUCUAUGAUCGUGGAGAAGGGCCCCACCACCGUCAGUCACCUGCUCAUCACCGCGGCCAACGUGGGUGACAACGGCAUCUACACCUGCGUGGCCAACAACCUCAACGCCACCUCCGUCACGCUGCACGUCCUCAAUGCAGGCGAGCACCCAGCGGCCAUGCAGACCAACAAGGCGCCUCCGCUCCCCCACGGCCCCUCCCUCCUGCUGGCCAUCGCUGCCGCCAGGAUACUGUGGCACGGGUGGCUACACAACACCUAAGCCCCGCGUUGACCUUCCCGUGAACCUUCCAGACGAGGUCAUCGCUGAGCCUUUCAUCCCACCGCUGGACGCCUGGACCCUCCACUGAUCUUCACACCAGAUCUCUGUCGAGGCCUCCCGGGAGAACUCUUCCUCCGAUAACAAAUCACCCAUUGUAAGAGCAACAGACACUAACUUCCCUCCCUUGGAAAGCCACUAGACUCCAGACCACCGCCGUGACCCUCGCCAGACCCACCACCGCCACCACGUUGUCUGAGGAGUGAGGAAGGUCUGGGUCUUGGCAAGCCUUCAGGAGACCUCACCUGCAGCGUGUGAGUGAAACGUUGAAAUGUCGUCACAAUAAACAUCCUCUCUCGGUUUUUAAUUCAAAGGCAUAAUUCAUAGUGUGUUCAUGGUGUAUUGCAUCUCAUUUUAAUUUUUGUGUAACAUUCGACAGAAAGCAAAAUCUUUUUCUUUCACAAUUUCUUUCUCUUGGCUUGAGACAAAUAAGUAAGCUGGUACAAUUGCAUUCCCGCCUCCCCUUGUUCUUAAGAUAAUUUACAUUGAAAAGCAGCGUGCUCGUUGGCAUCACAACCUACCCCUUUGCUUUUAUUUGCACAUGUAAAUGCUACUCAUAUUUUUUAUAUUAUAUCUCUUAUAAACUACCAGAAGCAAUCUUUGACUUAGUUUCAUUAGAAAAUGUAAAUUUCGUAACAAAAUAUCCCAUAAAGUUUGGCCUUGACAGUUUCUUGAAGAUAAUCCUGUGCAGGGCCCUGGCCCGCCACAGUGGCCCGCCCAGGCGAUUUUGUCUCUGAAAUCCAGCUCAUAUAAAAAAAUUCUUCGGUCGUUGUUUCUGAUAGGAAUGAGUACUAUGUGAUUACACUUGAGGAAUGUUACUAUGCUCUUGUCUUAAAUAAGAUGCCUGAGUCUUAAACAAUAUCAUUAAUUAUAAUUCUUAUUAUAAUUUAAGUAAAGUUUCACUGAAAAGAUCGUUGCAGGUGAGAGUACAUACAUGUAUAAAACUCAUACGAAGAUGUUUUCCGAUGUCGAAUGCAGGAACAUUUUCGUCGCUGACUGUUAACAAAUCAUUUCAUUGGUCGCCUGGUGGAGGUGACGUUUAAGAUAAAUUUGUAUGUUCAUCUUGUAAGUUUUGCUAAAAUAAUUAUUCUUUUGAGCGAUAAGAUAUCACGAUAAACAAUUUCUGAGCUUAAUACUAACCUGUGCUUUAGUCAUUCACAUAUUUCUAUUCCUAGGUAUUAAUAGUCGUCACAGUGAUCGAGAAGAGAGUCGUGCAGUGGCUGGUGCUCCAUGGACCCUUUGGUUGUGCCUUUCUUAGCAUCACUGUUGUGUGUGUGCCAUUAUGUUACGCACAAACAAACCGUGUGGCAGUGUUCCGGCAUCUCCGUCCCACAGAAGAUCCAGUAGUUGCAGAACACACUGAAUGCUUGUGGGUGGAGACUGAUUCCAAGUGAUCUUUUCUGUUGCCAGAACUGGAGGCUCUCAGCGUUCAUUUUACAUUGCCCGCGACUUUCACUCAACAUAUCCACACUACGUUCACGAGGGAGAGUACAUAAAUAUCGCCUCGGUACUUGGUGAGACACUCUGGCUCCGUGAUGAUCGUUAAAGACACUGCACAGUGACUGCCACAGUCACCACGCAGCCCAGUGUCCUGUGUGUGGGCCGGGCGGCGCCCCGCAUGUUGGCCAGGACGUGUUGUGUCGCUGGCUUGUCUCUCGUCUGUGUUGUGUCGGGAGGCCUGGCCCCCCUGCCCUGCGGGGACGCUGUGUACAUAUAUGUGAUAGUUGACUGGCCUGCAGCACCUCCCAGGCCAAGUUAUGCAACACUAUAUUUGUCAGGAACAACUUGUGCUUAGUUUGUAUUUGUAUUUUUAUACUUUGGUGGAGAGUCACUUUGUACACUACGCUACGAACUCUCCGCCAGCCUCGGGCGGGGAGCGACUCGCCCGCCGGCAGCGGCGCGGCGCGGCGACUCACGUUCAACACAAACUGAGAGAAAAUAUAUUUCAAAGAUAUUUCUAUUACCACAUCAGAAUAUUUUUUACUAUAAUGUUACGCAUUUCUCGAAAACAUAUAGCAUAUAACUUGGCAUGUUUCAGUAAUUCUAAGUUGACUUGUUGAUAUUGGUGCAGCACUUGUACAGUUACCAUUGUAAAGAUCUUGUGCAGGAAUGUACAUUAAACAGUUCUUUGUAAACCACGACUCUUAUUUAUAUAACCGAAGGAGUAACGAGUUCUGACUAAUUCGUAUAAGCUGAUGACUAUCCCUUAAGUACCGAGGAACAUGCUUUGCUUCUUGUUCCAUUCAAGUGGUCCCCGCUGCCUUAAGUGCUUGUGUGGGUGAGUUGUGACGUCAAAACCUAUUGAUAUUUGAUGCCGCCGCUUGUGCUUCAUUGUGUCUGCGCCGAGGCUCGUAAGCGGCCCCCGUCAGGGUGUGCAGCCCCCUUGUAGUACUCCUGACGCCUGCUAGACCAUGAGCGGCGUCCAAUAAGUCAUGUGUAGAGAUUUGCGUGUAUUGAUUAACACAGAUUCACUAAUGAUGGAGGAACAGUGCAAAUCGGUCUUGGUUGUUGAUGCUUGAAACACAACCGAACCUUCCCUGCACGGUUCGUUAAAGUGUCCAGUUGCUGAUAAUUUGCAGUACGUGAGUUGUCUAACGUAAAAUAUGUUUGGAGAAACUAUAUAUUUAAUGAGAAUCCGUAAACGUAAAACAAGAUCACCAAUUGGACAUAAUCGAUAUAAAAGACUGAACUGUGAACCGAAAUCUCGAGUCACCAAACGAAUCGAGUGAACCCAACAUGGCGGGAGGUCGGGGAGUGGCGGCGGAGGUGCGGCAGCAGGUGAAGCAGGAGGACGUGGAGGCUCUCGAGGACCUGCAGUGAGUCGUUACACUUCAAGGACGCCGAAGGACAAACGGGGAAGAAAUAUGGCGGUGGGUCUCGAGGCAGGGAAGGAAAGGAAAGGAAGAGGAAAAGCUACGAUCGGAACGGGAACAUAAGUAUCAGUUUGCCUCCAUAAUCGCCCACUGCCGGGAACUUCACUGGCCAAGGAACAACGUCCACCACACCAUGAUGCCAGUCAGAGUUCUUGUCCACCAGCUGCCUACUUCCAGAUGUAGACUGAGGCCCUGAUGCUCCCAGCCUGAUGUGCUGCCUGGACAGAUAGUGUGAGAGGCAAGACAUCGAUACCCACCACAACCUGCUGCCAUCUUGCUGCUGGAGACUUAGCUGCUGCUUCUUAAGUUGACAAGGAACCAGCCAGCAUCAGUGUGGCUUUGACUGCUGACCAGCACCACAACUGCCUGCUACUGUUGUCUAAGGCUUCAGCAGAAGACUUGAUCCAUGCUGCUCUAAGUGAGCCAAUGGCCACCUGAAAGGGCACAUUUAUCUUAGUAAAAAAAUCUACUAUCUCAAUGCUAUCCAUUUCUUUAAAAAUUAAUUUCAAAAUCUGACUUCUUGCACUUUUAUAUAUUGGCUGUUUUCAUGUGGCUCUACAUCUACUUAUUUUGAUGUAAGUGAAAAAUGCAUCUGGCAGUAUUCUUUCACACACUCAUAUUUGAGGGGAGCAAGCUUGUGCCCCCAGCCUCAAUUACUGGUCUAAAAUUAAUGAUAGUGGUAGAUUAUCCAUCCCUUGGAACAGGUGGAUCUUUGAACUUAAUCUUACUGUACUCGCCAACUUCCUAAAACUGGAAUAAAAAAUGUUACCACCCAUUAAUGUGAUUUUUUCUUGUAUUCACUUAUUUCAAUUUUGUAAAUGCCUAAUUAUAUUUGUAUAAAAUUCAUGUUGCAAUCCAAAAAUAAAGGCCAGCUUCUUAAAGUGCGAACAAAA